rnacentral:rRNA from 1 species
GAAGUAAAAGUCGUAACAAGGUCUCCGUUGGUGAACCAGCGGAGGGAUCAUUACCGAGUUUACAACUCCCAAACCCAAUGUGAACGUUACCAAACUGUUGCCUCGGCGGGAUCUCUGCCCCGGGUGCGUCGCAGCCCCGGACCAAGGCGCCCGCCGGAGGACCAACCUAAAACUCUUAUUGUAUACCCCCUCGCGGGUUUUUUUAUAAUCUGAGCCUUCUCGGCGCCUCUCGUAGGCGUUUCGAAAAUGAAUCAAAACUUUCAACAACGGAUCUCUUGGUUCUGGCAUCGAUGAAGAACGCAGCGAAAUGCGAUAAGUAAUGUGAAUUGCAGAAUUCAGUGAAUCAUCGAAUCUUUGAACGCACAUUGCGCCCGCCAGUAUUCUGGCGGGCAUGCCUGUCCGAGCGUCAUUUCAACCCUCGAACCCCUCCGGGGGGUCGGCGUUGGGGAUCGGCCCUCCCUUAGCGGGUGGCCGUCUCCGAAAUACAGUGGCGGUCUCGCCGCAGCCUCUCCUGCGCAGUAGUUUGCACACUCGCAUCGGGAGCGCGGCGCGUCCACAGCCGUUAAACACCCAACUUCUGAAAUGUUGACCUCGGAUCAGGUAGGAAUACCCGCUGAACUUAAGCAUAUCAAUAAGCGGA